rnacentral:rRNA from 1 species
ACAGUUACCUUGUUACGACUUCACCCCAGUUACCGGCUCCACCUUCGGCAGCUCCCUCCUUGCGGUUGGGUCACUGACUUCGGGCAUUUUCGACUCCCAUGGUGUGACGGGCGGUGUGUACAAGACCCGGGAACGUAUUCACCGCGACAUUCUGAUUCGCGAUUACUAGCGAUUCCAGCUUCAUGUAGUCGGGUUGCAGACUACAAUCCGAACUGGGACGUUAUUUCUGGGAUUUGCUCAACGUCGCCGUCCUGCUUCCCUUUGUUUACGCCAUUGUAGCACGUGUGUCGCCCUGGUCAUAAAGGGCAUGAUGAUUUGACGUCAUCCCCGCCUUCCUCCCGGUUGUCCCGGGCAGUCUCUCCAGAGUGCCCAGCCUUACCUGCUGGCUACUGGAAAUAGGGGUUGCGCUCGUUGCGGGACUUAACCCAACAUCUCACGACAC